UACGUAGGGGGCGAGCGUUGUCCGGAAUUAUUGGGCGUAAAGAGCUCGUAGGCGGCUCAGCAAGUCGGCUGUGAAAUCCCGAGGCUCAACCUCGGAACUGCAGUCGAUACUGCUGUGGCUAGAGUCUGGUAGAGGAGAGUGGAAUUCCCGGUGUAGCGGUGAAAUGCGCAGAUAUCGGGAGGAACACCAGUAGCGAAGGCGGCUCUCUGGGCCAGUACUGACGCUGAGGAGCGAAAGCGUGGGGAGCAAACAGG
rnacentral:rRNA from 1 species